rnacentral:rRNA from 1 species
AUUGAACGCUGGCGGCAGGCCUAACACAUGCAAGUCGAACGAGUCGCGGACGGGUGAGUAAUGUCUGGGAAACUGCCUGAUGGAGGGGGAUAACUACUGGAAACGGUAGCUAAUACCGCAUACCAUACGAUGUGCCCAGAUGGGAUUAGCUUGCUGGUGGGGUAAGGGCUCACCAAGGCGACGAUCCCUAGCUGGUCUGAGAGGAUGACCAGCCACACGGUAACGGAGACACGGUCCAGCCUCCUACGGGAGGCGGAAGUGGGGAAUAUUGCACAAUGGGCGCAAGCCUGAUGCAGCCAUGCCGCGUGGAUAGAGAAGGCCUUCGGGUGGUAAAGUACUUUCAGCGGGGAGGCGUUACCCGCAGAAGAAGCACCGGCUAACUCCGUGCCAGCAGCCGCGGUAAUUC